rnacentral:rRNA from 1 species
GGAAAACCUUACCUACCCUUGACAUGUCUGGAAGGCCGAAGAGAUUUGGCUGUGCUCGCAAGAGAACCGGAACACAGGUGCUGCAUGGCUGUCGUCAGCUCGUGUCGUGAGAUGUUGGGUUAAGUCCCGCAACGAGCGCAACCCUUGUCAUUAGUUGCUACGAAAGGGCACUCUAAUGAGACUGCCGGUGACAAACCGGAGGAAGGUGGGGAUGACGUCAAGUCCUCAUGGCCCUUAUGGGUAGGGCUUCACACGUCAUACAAUGGUCGGGACAGAGGGUCGCCAACCCGCAGGGGGAGCCAAUCCCAGAAACCCGAUCGUAGUCCGGAUCGCAGUCUGCAACUCGACUGCGUGAAGUCGGAAUCGCUAGUAAUCGCGGAUCAGCAUGUCGCGGUGAAUACGUUCCCGGGUCUUGUACACACCGCCCGUCACACCAUGGGAGUGGGUUUUACCAGAAGUAGUUAGCCUAACCGCAAGGAGGGCGAUUACCACGGUAGGAUUCAUGACUGGGGUGAAGUCGUAACAAGGUAAGCGUAGUGCU